AGCCAGCACUUUGGCGAUGUAAGGGAUCAGUGGCAGGUUCAGGAUCAACAACACAAGGUUGCCGAUGAACAUGGACAUGAUCACCGCCCAGAACACCUGAGGCUCGUCGAUCAUCAGGCGGGGGCC
rnacentral:ncRNA from 1 species